GAUAGAGAUUAGAAAAGAUAAUUUAA
rnacentral:piRNA from 1 species